UAUAAAUCCUAUUAUGGUUAUAAGUUGUAAAUUGUAACACACUAAGACAACCAAAGAGUAAAAGUAGAAAGAGGAAAGGAAGUACAUAUAGUAACAUUACACAUUGGAAUUUUGUGCUAUCUAGCAACCAACAUUCCAAAGCUCAGUGUUCACUCUGGCAAAAAUGACAGAAGAACAACCAAUAAGAUUUGGAAUCCUCGGUUGUGCAGAGAUAGCUCGGAAAGUUUCAAGGGCUAUAACCCUUUCUCCAAACGCAACCCUUUACGCCGUUGGAAGUCGUUCCUUGGAAAAAGCUUCAAACUUCGCAGCUUCCAAUAACUUCCCUCCACAUGCCAAGGUCUAUGGUUCCUACGAAGCAGUUCUCGAUGACCCUGACGUUGACGCCGUUUAUGUGCCGCUUCCAACGAGCUUGCACCUUCACUGGGCAGUGCUCGCUGCUCAGAAGAAGAAGCACUUGUUGCUUGAAAAGCCUGUGGCUCUCAACGUUGGUGAACUUGACAAGAUUUUGGAAGCAUGUGAAUCCAAUGGUUUGCAGUACAUGGAUGGUACCAUGUGGAUGCACCACCCUAGGACCCUGAAAAUGUUUCAGUUUCUUUCAGAUCCCAACCAGUUUGGUCGCCUUCAAUCGGUACAUGCAAAUUUUUCUUAUGGUGUUACUCCUUAUUUUCUAGAGAAUGACAUUCGAGUGAAGCCAGACCUUGAUGUUCUUGGAACUCUUGGUGAUACUGGGUGGUAUUGUGUCAGAGCAAUCUUAUGGGCUGCAAACUACGAGUUACCUAAAACUGCGCGAACCUUACGCAAACCUACAUAUAAUAAAGCUGGCGUUAUUCUAGCUUGUGAGGCUUCUCUAUUGUGGGAUGAUGACAAAGUAGCAACCUUUUAUUGUUCCUUCUUAUCAGAUAUGUCAAUGGAUAUAACUGCAAUGGGAACAAAAGGGUCUUUGCGAGUUCAUGAUUAUGUUAUUCCUAACCAAGAGAAUGAGGCCUUAUUUUCCACAAGUUCAAAUUCUUACUUUGUGGAACUUGCUAAAGGUUGGGCUCCAAAACCAAUUGAACAUACAAUUCACACAGAUCUCCCUCAGGAGGCACUUAUGGUUAGGGAAUUUGCUCAUUUGGUCGGAGCAAUUAAGUUCAAGAACUCAAAACAUGAGAGUAAGUGGCCAACCAUUAGCAGGAAAACACAAGUGGUUAUAGAUGCUGUGAAGGCUUCAAUUGACAAUGGUCUUGAGCCUGUUCAAAUUCAGUAGUAGCUAAGUUGAGUUUGUUUGAAGUGGGGGGUUAUCAGUUAAUGUAGAAAUUAAGAAAGUAACUUAUCAGAACAGAGAUGUCUUAAUAAUUGUUAUGUUGAGGAGUGUUGUUCUUCACUUUCCAUCCAGGGUUUGUAUCUGAUGGGCCUUCAAUAAAUAUCCAAGCCCAUUAGUUAUCAUUAGUUAGGAUUAAUAUAUAUAGAUGUUUAGGGUGAGGUGUCUAUAUGCAUGUAUUCAGCGUAAUCGAAAUUGAGAAUUGGGAAAAGGAUCUCUACGGAUCUCUUAAGGCCGAGGUCUUUGGCUUUGAGGAGUGGCAGAGGUAUAUAUACAAAGGGCAGUUAUUUAUCUAACAUUUUGAAUGGGAGCUCUUCUUGCUGAACUGGAGAGCCUUUAAAGUUUAAAAGCUACACGGGACUGAAGCUGUUGGCAGUUCAAAGUUUAUCUCAAGCCCAAAGGUCAGCCCAAGAAGAAGAAAGGCAAGGGCAAAGUGAAAGGAAAGGAGAAAUCCAAGAACAAUGCUAAAACUAUAUGCUUCCAUUGUCAGAAGGAAGAACAUUGGAAGAGAAAUUUCCCAUUAUUCCUUGCGAGCCUCAAGGGAAAGAAUUAUGAUGAUGCUUCAGCCUCUGGUACUAAAGAGUCCUAGCAAGCUGGAGAAGAAUGAGGUCAAUCUCCGCGUCGGGAAUGGAGUAAGAGUUGUUGCACUAGCCGUUGGGUAUGUGGAUCUUUUGUUGCCUACGGGCCUUUCUAUACAUUUGAAUAAUUGUUUCUAUGUUCCGUCAAUUUUUCGAAUCAUUAUUUCUAUUUCUAGUUUGGAA